CUACGGGCUGCUCCAGUAGGGAAUAUUGGACAAUGGGCGAAAGCCUGAUCCAGCAACACCGCGUGCACGAUGACGGCCUUCGGGUUGUAAAGUGCUUUUAGAGGAGAUGAGAAAGGACAGUAUCCUCUGAAUAAGCCUCGGCGAACUACGUGCCAGCAGCCGCGGUAAAACGUAGGAGGCAAGCGUUAUCCGGAUUUAUUGGGCGUAAAGCGCGUGCAGGCGGUCUAGCAAGUUGGAUGUGAAAGCUCCCGGCUCAACUGGGAGAGGUCGUUCAAUACUGUUAGACUAGAGAAUAGGAGAGGGAGGUGGAAUUCCGGGUGUAGUGGUGAAAUGCGUAGAUAUCCGGAGGAACACCAGUGGCGAAAGCAGCCUCCUGGACUAUUGCUGACGCUAAGACGCGAAAGCUAGGGUAGCAAACGGGAUUAGAUACCCCAGUAGUC
rnacentral:rRNA from 1 species